UGUUAAAAAUUUCAUUCAUUUCUAUUGUUAAAAGUUGGCGUGGCUGGCGAAAUAACCACAGUUACAUGUGGCAUGCCACAUGUACUCCAUGUAGAAGUAUAAGACCAAUUUUUAACAGUAAAAAUGGGUGAUUUUUUUUACCA
rnacentral:pre_miRNA from 1 species